GACGGCCACGCCCCCGUGUCAGGCCCCGCCCUUAGAGGGCAGGAUUGUAGGGGCUUGUAGUCUUGGGGCUACUGCCGUCUGGGCCUUGGCUGGUUGGGCUGCAGUCGGCAGGAAGACGCAGCUUUGCAUUAAAGUUGGGGAGGGCGUCGAAAGCCGGGCUCCCUGAGGGUCCGCCUCUGGUUUCGCUAGAGUCCUAAAUAAGGAAUACAGAGUCCAUGGUCUCAUUCAACAAAUGGGGGAAAUUGAGGCCCAGACAGAGCCAAUACACCCAAGAAAACACCUGGAAUCAGCCAGAGAUCCCAAGAGCUCAGACCCACUGGGGAAAGCCACUUCGUCUCCUGCUGGAGGCCCAGAGCCCUCCCACAGAUCCACAGAUCCAGGGUUAUUGGACCCUGCCUGUUUAAGGAGCCUGGGAAGUGGGGUCUGGAGUCCUGUCUGUCAAAUAAAAACAAUACCAACAUA